CACGAACGCUGGCGGCAGGCUUAACACAUGCAAGUCGAGCGCCCCGCAAGGGGAGCGGCAGACGGGUGAGUACGCGUGGGAAUCUACCCAUCUCUACGGAAUAACGCAUGGAAACGUGUGCUAAUACCGUAUCCGUCCUUCGGGAGAAAGAAUUAUCGGAGAUGGAUGAGCCCGCGUUGGAUUAGCUAGUUGGUGGGGUAAAGGCCUACCAAGGCGACGAUCCAUAGCCGGUCUGAGAGGAUGAUCAGCCACACUGGGACUGAGACACGGCCCAGACUCCUACGGGAGGCAGCAGUGGGGAAUAUUGGACAAUGGGCGCAAGCCUGAUCCAGCCAUACCGCGUGAGUGAUGAAGGCCCUAGGGUUGUAAAGCUCUUUCACCGGUGAAGAUAAUGACGGUAACCGGAGAAGAAGCCCCGGCUAACUUCGUGCCAGCCGCCGCCGUAAGAC
rnacentral:rRNA from 1 species